rnacentral:lncRNA from 1 species
CCAAUUGAUGCUUUGUAAUUCAGGUUUUCUGUAAAUUGUUUUUAAGUGUGAGAUACUUUCCACAUAUGCCUGAAAAGCAAGAUCUUUUCUUCCUUCAAAAUUAUACCUCAGAAAAAGGGUCACAUUCUAGUCCAGACCUUGCAAAGUGUUUCAACUUGUGAGGUAUGUUCUGAGAUUAGUUUUGGACAUAAAAGUACUAUUUGGAAUGACUGAUCAAUUGAAUGAAAUGAUCGAUAUGAUCUGGGUGUUUAUUCUCAAGGUGGGGCCCAGACCCCGCAGCCUCAGCUCCUGGGAAUCUGUGAGAAAAGCAGAGCUUUUCAGGCUUUGCCCCGGGCCUGCCGAGGCCACAGUCCGCGGGGUGAGCCCUGCGAUAUGCUUUACAGCCCUCCAGGUGAUUCUGAGGCCCAUUCAGGUUUAAGAACCACGGUCAUAGAAGUUACCGAUCACAUUUUUAAAUAUGCAAAGUUAUUUAACACAGCAUUAGUUAUCAUUCCUGGAGGUGUCACCUCCCAACUCCAAGCAUGGGUAUCGCUGUGCGUGCGCUUUCAGAAGCCACUUGAGAGAGGAACAGAGUAAGUGUGCGGGCCACAUAUAAAUAUGUAUGUACAUCUAUAUGCAUUUAUGUUACAGUGUCACCUGUGUGUGCAUAUAUUCUAUCAUACGUGAGUGUAUCGCUCUCUCUACAGGAUGCCUGGAGCAAUCCCAGCUGUCCUGAUGUUACAUAAAUGAGUUACUUAGCUCAAGAUAAACUUCCAAAGACAGCAUCAUUAGGACUUUUUAAAGUACAUUUUCCUUCAAACACUUUAGAUGGAAAUAGAGCUCAUAUGCUCUGAACAACUGUGUUGGGUGACUCCUAAGUGGCCCUAUUGAUGACAAAGACCCUGAGGUCCAAUACUGAUGUCACCUAUUGCCUCCUUCUGCCUCAGUCACUGUGGCAUACAGGUCCUAUCUCCUUUAUUAGUCCUGGGGCCAGGACUGUUCUUAACGCUGGUAAUAGCAUCCAGGGUUUUUAAAGGGUUUUGCACCUGUCGUCGUCACACCCUGCCUUUAAACCCUCUCAAGAGCUCAGUACACGCACCGACCAUAGUAGGCACUUGUUGAAAGAAACAGACUUGUCAGUUUUGCAUAUAUACCAAAUAAAUCUCAGGGAGGGUGGCCCUUAACACUUAGUGCUCCAGUCUUAAUGGUAACUGGUGUAAUAUAGCAAGAAAGCAAAUAAAUGCUUAGGAUAUUUUAAUAUACAUAAGAAUCACAAACUAAUUCCACACUCAGGUGUUUGAUUCCACAGAAGAAAACCUAGCAUGGCAGACGCAAAUAUUCCUUUCCACAAGUUUUGAUGAAAUAUUCCAUUCCACAAGUUUUGAUAUGUACUUUUGCUAUUCAACUGAAAUUUCUUCUCAUUUCCAUUAUAAUUUUGUCUUCGAUUAAUACGUUAUUUAGAACCGUUUAUUUUCAAACGUGAGAUAGUUCUAUUUUUUUAAAAAAAAUUUAUUUCUAGCCUCAGCUGCACCGUGGUCAGGGAACAUACUCUACACGACUUAAGUUUCUUCAAGUACGUGGACAUAAAGAUGGUGACAUGAGAUACUAGGACGACUGGGGAGGGACACGGGCUGAAAAACUAACUGUUGGGGACUGUGCUCAUGAGCUGGGCGACAGGACCGCCUGUACCGCAAACAUCGGCGUCCUGCAGUACACCCAGUGACAAACCUGCACAGGCACCCCCGAAUCUAGAAGCUGAACUUAUAAAACAUAAAUGUCUCGACCUAUGAUGACAUCUGCAUCAUGGACAAGCGUAUGGUCAGUUUUUAUAAUGAUAUAUUUGUACUUUGAAAGAAAAUAUGUGCUGCCGUUGCUCGGUGUGGUGUUCUACACCAUUAUCUCUAAUGAUGCCUUUGCUUUAGAAUCUCUUUCGUCAGGUAUCAGCACAUCAGCCUUCUUCUGUAAAGAGCUUAUGUGUAUAUUAUAGUACAUAUAAUAUGUUACCACACUCACACACACACUGUUCGCGUUUUCAGGCAUCUCUUCUGAGUAACACAUACAUAAUCUGAUUGGUGCUGGAGCACUCAGUCCGCUUUGUGUUGUUACUGACAGACAAACGGUGCACCCAUCCUGCUCUGUCUUCCAUCUGCCCUGCCAUUGGUUUCUUAAUUUUUGCUCUUUUCAAUUAAAGUUUUCUAUUCAUUCUCUUUACUGUUUUGAAGGUUAAAACUCUGUUUCUAUUCUUUUAGCUAUUGCCCUAGAAGUGCAUACUUACAUUAUUAAGGUCUAAAUUGGAAUUUUUAUCCCUCGAACCAAUACAAGGAUCUGAGCAUACUUAAUUUUCCUCUCCUGCUUUAUGUUAUUUUUGUCAUAAGCUCUCUCUCUCUUUUAACCUGAGACAUGAGUUUUCUUGUUCGGUGGAAUCAAUGUCUAUUAGAUUUACUCACAUUUUUACCACUGACAUCUCAGAUUUCCCGUCUGGGGCCAUUUUCCUUCCUCAUGCAAGGCAUCCUUUAGAAUUUCCUUUAACGAAGACGUUCUAGUGGCACACUUUUUGUCUGGCUUUUCUUUUGCCUCUCGUCUUGAAUGUAACUUUCAUUUGGUUCACAUGGGAGUCUAGACUGGCGGUUAGGUCUCUCCCGACACACGGAGAUGCCAUCUCACCUUCUGCCGCUCCCACUGGGAAAUCUGCAGGUCCCAGGGUUUGCCAUCGUCUGUCCUCGUUCCUGGCCACUUCCAAGAUGACUCCGUGCUUUGUGUUCUGCAGGCUCACUAGACACUUAAAACAAAAUCAUAUUGGGCUUCCUUGGGCUUCUUAAAUCUGUGGCUUGUAUCUUCUUCAGAUCUGGAAAAUUCUUAGCCUUUGUUGCUUCAAGCUGUUGCCUCUGUCCCACGUGUUCUCUUUUCUCUUCAAAUUCUGACAGUGACAUCCUGCGCCACAUCCUCUCUUAGGCAAGUCACUUCCCUGGACCCGCUUUCCAGGGGAUGCAAAACGCAGGGCCCCCCUUGCAGACCUGACUCCUCAGUGAGCUGAAGGCAGGGCCUGACUAGAAUGUGUGUGUAUCAAGAGCCAAAGUCAAAACAGUAGAGCCAGCCGUGCUUAGCAUCCAGCUCCUCUGCAAAGAAGGAAAUGUGUGUGCCCUAGUGGGUGGGAAAUACGAAUUGUGUGCUUUUGGUGAUUCCACGUAUGACUUAAAUGCUCUAAUAUUUGCACUUAAAACUGACAUUCUGGUGUAAAGAUGCACUGUGAAAGUCAUAAAAUUUAUAAUUUAAUUUUUUCUUAGAAUAACAUUAAAUAAACAGCAAAU